GUGGGGAAUAUUGGACAAUGGGCGAAAGCCUGAUCCAGCCAUGCCGCGUGUGUGAAGAAGGUCUUCGGAUUGUAAAGCACUUUAAGUUGGGAGGAAGGGCAGUAAGUUAAUACCUUGCUGUUUUGACGUUACCGACAGAAUAAGCACCGGCUAACUUCGUGCCAGCAGCCGCGGUAAUACGAAGGGUGCAAGCGUUAAUCGGAAUUACUGGGCGUAAUGCGCGCGUAGGUGGUUUUGUAAGUUGGAGGUGAAAUCCCCGGGCUCAACCUGGGAACUUCCUCGCAAACUGCAUGACUCGAGUACGGUAGAGGGUAGUGGAAUUUCCUGUGUAGCGGUGAAAUGCGUAGAUAUAGGAAGGAACACCAGUAGCGAAGGCGACUACCUGGACUGAUACUGACACUGAGGGGCGAAAGCGUGGGGAGCAAACAGGAUUAGAUACCCCUGUAGUCC
rnacentral:rRNA from 1 species